rnacentral:rRNA from 1 species
UACGGAGGAUCCAAGCGUUAUCCGGAAUCAUUGGGUUUAAAGGGUCCGUAGGCGGUUUAGUAAGUCAGUGGUGAAAGCCCAUCGCUCAACGGUGGAACGGCCAUUGAUACUGCUGAACUUGAAUUGUUAGGAAGUAACUAGAAUAUGUAGUGUAGCGGUGAAAUGCUUAGAGAUUACAUGGAAUACCAAUUGCGAAGGCAGGUUACUACUAAUGGAUUGACGCUGAUGGACGAAAGCGUGGGUAGCGAACAGG